rnacentral:rRNA from 1 species
AGUGAACGCUGGCGGUAGGCCUAACACAUGCAAGUCGAACGGCAGCACAGUAAGAGCUUGCUCUUACGGGUGGCGAGUGGCGGACGGGUGAGGAAUACAUCGGAAUCUACUUUUUCGUGGGGGAUAACGUAGGGAAACUUACGCUAAUACCGCAUACGACCUACGGGUGAAAGCAGGGGAUCUUCGGACCUUGCGCGAUUGAAUGAGCCGAUGUCGGAUUAGCUAGUUGGCGGGGUAAAGGCCCACCAAGGCGACGAUCCGUAGCUGGUCUGAGAGGAUGACCAGCCACACUGGAACUGAGACACGGUACAGACUCAUACGGGAGGCAGCAGUGGGGAAUAUUGGACAAUGGGCGCAAGCAUGAUCCAGCCAUACCGCGUGGGUGAAGAAGGCCUUCGGGUUGGAAAGCCCUUUUGUUGGGAAAGAAAAGCAGCAGGUUAAUACCCCGAUGUUCUGACGGUACCCAAAGAAUAAGCACCGGCUAACUUCGUG